AUAGCCAUAAAGAAUGCUUUUAAAUCAAGUAAUACACUUGACUUAAAAAGACAAGCCAGCGGCAAUUAUAAAAUAAUGACACCUAAGAAUGUUUUCAAGAAGUCUGGUUCAUAAUGCAUUCAAACUUAAAAAAAUAUUAAAGACAACUAAAAAAAUUUUGCUCAUUUUUGGAGCAAAAAAACUACCAAAGAAGGAGCAGCUUGAGGGAAUAUUAAUGGAUUAUGAGAAGAAAAUGAAACUGAACUAUUUUGCGUUAUCCUACAAGAUGAAUGAUUAUAGAGUACAAUAGACUGACUAGCCAGUAGUUGAAAGCCAGAUCAUAAGAUAUUUGAAGAGACACAGUAACCUCUUAAAAUGAGGCCAAUUUUCUUAGAUCAGGCUUUUCGCUUGAGUGCUGUACAUGUGUGUCCUUCAGGUACUGAUGAAGCCUCUACAGAGCUCUCUUCUCAGCCUUGCUCUGCCAUUUCUGCUGCUACUGCAGCAGUGACACUGGAAUCCCUGAAGCAUCAAAUCUUGAAUUGGAGGAAAGUACUUCUUUCCAUAUUUUGUAUUAUGUCCUACUAAAGGAUAGCAAAGCAGAGUUGUUUGCUCCCAUCUUAGAAACUUUUAAAUAAAAUUUAGGUAUUACUUUUAAACAUAGGUCCACAGAGAAGACAAAUCUAAGUGGCAAAAAUAAUGUGUAUUCAGCGUCACUAUUCCCCAAGGAUGACAAAUGUAUGUUUUUUGCUGUAAUAUCUCCCAGUUGACUCCAUCUUCUCUUCUAUUGAAUUUUCAACCAGAGAGCUUCUUAGUUCCUUAUUCAAAUACAGUUUUGGUAGACCUAACCAGUAUUAUAUGUGCCUGAUCUAUCUGAAUCUAAUCAAGUUUGGUUUAAAUGAAAUCAAGUGUACUCACAGCCUCUCAUACCUAUUCCAUUUUUACUUUUGUACAACCACAAAAUUAGCCCGGGGUAGGGGGAGUUCACUUGAUAAUUUGCUAAGUGCAAUUGCCACCACCAGUACUCUAUGAUCCAGCCCCUCCCUACCCAACAUGACAUCAUCGAUUAAAAUUCCUAAAUCAAUGCUAUUUUUUACUUCAGAAUGUAUAGUAUUUUUCUUUGACCCUUCAGAUAAAGACCCUCAAUCAAUCUACCACUCAAAUAUCUUCCUAAGAUUUACUAUAAUACGGUUUCCAUUGUUAUUUAAUUUUAGCUCUUACCUUUCUUCAUCUCAGCCCUAUAUCACGAAUAUUCUUCCUUUUCAAAUGGUCACAUUAUUUCUAAGUAUCCACCACAAUCUCUACCUUCUCUCAGAACAGUUGUGAAAUUUUAAGUUGUAUUUUUGAAAAUUUGGUAAAUCAUUUGAUGCUUAAAUAAUUGAAUAAGGUCAGGCUGUGUUUAAUAAAUGUCAGCUGUGCUUUAUGGUACGUAGGUAAAACACAAUAUGGCUUAAAGGUAAAAAUCAAACAAUUCAUCCUAAGGUUAGCGUUACAAUUUUUAUUAUCCCCUUAGGUUAGCAAACCACUGAUAACAAACCCAGGUGUUACUUUGUCCUUUCUUGUUAGACUUAAACUCAGUAAUUCCAGAUUAAGUCUCAUCCUGAUAUCGUCAAAAACCCAAUUUGGCAAUUCAAUUAUACCCUGCCCUUACUCAGCACUUUUAGCAAGUCUCCUUUCCUAAGGUAACUGCCUGCCUUUUUAGAAAAAUUUCCCUUUGUCGAUGGCCUCACACUUCCAAUCUCUUUUUCAAUGGUUGCCUUCAUCCUCCUACAUAUGACUGUAACUCCUUCAAGCUAGAUCAAAAAUACAGUUCUUUAAUUUUC
rnacentral:antisense_RNA from 1 species